AGAUAACAUCAGGUCAUUAAUAACAAUAAAAUAAAAUCAUCAAAGUCACGACCCGGAGGGCCGGAUCCGUGACUUUGACAUGUGCUGUAAAUAAAUUAAACUGACCAGAGCUACAAACUCUUCAAUGAAGAUGCAGUGAAAUGGUUAUACUUUUUUUGUCCAACCGUAAACUAACAUUAAUCUGUCAGCUGUUAAAUCUAAAGCGUGGUAAGAACAAAAGAUUCAGAAGCUUUUCAGAAACCAAUUUGUCAGUCAGUGGGAGCAGCAGAACAGCCUGUUUGGCUGGAAUGAUAAAGAUUUUAAAAAAGAAAGUCUUGCAUCACUUCUUCUGUUUGUUCCUGUCACAGAGUGAGUCAGGAAAAACUGUCUGCAGCAGUUAUCCAAACUCGCCUGUGUUUAAUCAGCCAGUGGCAGAAGCUGGACUGCACAUGUGCAGAGAAGACUUCUGGACCACCAUGGCUUCCUGUCCCCAUCUCCAUCAGGAGAGUCGACUGACUCCUGCAGGCAGAAACUGAGACCAACGGAAAUGAUCCAUCGCAAACAUUCCUGUUCCACAGUGCAUUUCACUUCUUUAUCUGCAGUUUCCCUCCGGCCUAUCUGGAGUUUGACAGUCAACUUGGACUCAAGCUUCUGAAAGCAUCUUAAAGCAGGGACAGAAGAAAAGACUCGUCUGUGCAGCAGAGAUUUGUCUUGGACACACGUUGGCAUCCUCGUUUUGGUGUAAAUACAGCUUUAAGAAAACCAAA